rnacentral:lncRNA from 1 species
CACAUCAAACCAUAUUCCAAAUUCAAUGAGCUUCAGUCAUCUUUAACUCGGUAUAAUUCUAAGCACCUUCAAAUCUCUAAGGCAUCAUCAAACGGAACAUAAUCAAUCUACAGGCCUUCAUGCCUUUAACCCCACAUGGGUGUUCAUUAUAUUCAAUCCAAUUGAUCAUUAACAACCUUAAACAUAUCCUUAAAUAAACCAUAAAUACAUGGGCAUUCAUGCAUAUAUCAUGUCCAUAAACAAGCAUGGCCCUUCGACCUCACAUAAUUAACAUCACCUCAAUCAUUGUGCCAUUAACACAAAUACAUAUCAUGGCCAAAUAUCUCAUUGAGCAAUCCAUUCAUCAUAAUUUGGCAUAGUCCUUAAUCCAUAAUUCAUAUCGCACUGUGGGUAAUGAUCUUGCUCUAGGUCUUACAUACCAACGGAUCCCAACACAAUGCCACCAUAUGGCUCACCACAAAUCACACCAACAUUGUCA